GGCGGGGCGGGGCGGAGGAAGAAGGGCCAGAUAGGUACGAUAGAUAGGCACACAGCAAACAGAGGAAUUGAUCCAGCAACUUUUUUGUGUGUGUGUCAGGAGCAACCUGAGUUCUGGUGUGAGAGAAUUGGCCGUCUGCAAGGAUGUUGCCUGGGGACGCCCGGAUGAAUAUAUCUUAUCUGUUAAUAAGGAUACAGUUGCUUUAAGUGUUUUUAAUUUGUGUUAAUUUAUAUGAUGUGAUCAUGUCUUCUAGGGUUGUUAAAUUUGAUUUUUAGUGUACAGUAUUCCUAUUUGGUAUUAAGUUACAGUUUGAUGUGUCUUUUUUUUUUAUGUAAUUUGUUGACUUUGAAUGUUUGCCAUAUGUGUUGAAUACUGCCCUAAGUCCCCUUGGGGAGAUAGGGCGGUCUACAAAUAAAGUAUUAUUAUUAUUAUUAUUAU